UACGGGGGGGGCAAGCGUUGUUCGGAAUUACUGGGCGUAAAGGGUUCGUAGGUGGCCUGCUAAGUCGGACGUGAAAUCCCUCGGCUCAACCGGGGAACUGCGUCCGAUACUGGUGGGCUCGAGUGCAGGAGAGGAACGCGGAAUUCCAGGUGUAGCGGUGAAAUGCGUAGAUAUCUGGAGGAACACCGGUGGCGAAGGCGGCGUUCCGGACUGCAACUGACACUGAGGAACGAAAGCCAGGGGAGCAAACGGG
rnacentral:rRNA from 1 species